rnacentral:rRNA from 1 species
AUUGAACGCUGGCGGCAGGCCUAACCCAUGCAAGUCGAACGAGUGGCGGACGGGUGAGUAAUGUCUGGGAAACUGCCCGAUGGAGGGGGAUAACUACUGGAAACGGUAGCUAAUCCCGCAUACCAUCAGAUGUGCCCAGAUGGGAUGAGCUGGUAGGUGGGGUAACGGCUCACCUAGGCGACGAUCCCUUGCUGGUCUGAGAGGAUGACCAGCCACCCUGUAACUGUGACACGGUCCAGACUCCUACGGGAGGCAGCAGUGGGGAAUAUUGCACAAUGGGCGCAAGCCUGAUGCAGCCAUGCCGCGUGUGUGAAGAAGGCCUUCGGGUUGUAAAGCACUUUCAGCGGGGAGGCGUUACCCGCAGAAGAAGCACCGGCUAACUCCGUGCCAGCAGCCGCGGUAAUUC